GGAUUAGAUACCCUGGUAGUCCACGCCGUAAACGAUGUAUACUAGUUGUCGGGCAUUAGCUCGGUGACGCAGCUAACGCAUUAAGUAUACCGCCUGGGGAGUACGGUCGCAAGAUUAAAACUCAAAGAAAUUGACGGGGACCCGCACAAGCGGUGGAGCAUGUGGUUUAAUUCGAAGCAACGCGAAGAACCUUACCCACCUUUGACAUACUAGUUUGGGAUAGUGGAGACACUUUCUUUCAGUUCGGCUGGGCUAGAUACAGGUGCUGCAUGGCUGUCGUCAGCUCGUGCCG
rnacentral:rRNA from 1 species